AUGAUACGCUGCUACAAGAUCUCCUGGUGCGUUGGAUCUGCAUGGAAGGGGUCGCUGCCAACAUCCAGUGUAUAUCAAAAGGGGCAGAUUAAGCAAACUUGCACCAGAUUAUUAGAAGGACAUUGCAACUACAUGUACAGAAUUUGUUUCUGCAACAGAUUUAUUCACUGUAAUGCAAAGAAGAGAUCGGACGUGCUAAUCGUUUUCCAGAAUUUGCUGCUCGGAAAGUAUAAGCAGAAGAAAAUGUAUUGGCAUCCAUUUUGCAGCGCUCACUAUCCUGAAAGCAGGACUUUAGCCAAACAAUGGUAA
rnacentral:rRNA from 1 species